GUGAGGAAUAUUGGUCAAUGGUCGCAAGACUGAACCAGCCAUGCCGCGUGCAGGAUGACGGUCCUAUGGAUUGUAAACUGCUUUUGUACGGGAAGAAACCCUCCUACGUGUAGGAGCUUGACGGUACCGUAAGAAUAAGGAUCGGCUAACUCCGUGCCAGCAGCCGCGGUAAUACGGAGGAUCCAAGCGUUAUCCGGAAUCAUUGGGUUUAAAGGGUCCGUAGGCGGCCCUGUAAGUCAGCGGUGAAAUCUUCCAGCUCAACUGGGAAACUGCCGUUGAUACUGCAGGGCUUGAAUUGCCGGGAAGUAACUAGAAUAUGUAGUGUAGCGGUGAAAUGCUUAGAUAUUACAUGGAAUACCGAUUGCGAAGGCAGGUUACUACCGGCGGAUUGACGCUGAUGGACGAAAGCGUGGGGAGCGAACAGGA
rnacentral:rRNA from 1 species